rnacentral:rRNA from 1 species
AUUGAACGCUGGCGGCAGGCCUAACACAUGCAAGUCGGGCGGGGUUUUCGGACCUAGCGGCGGACGGGUGAGUAAUGCGUAGGAAGCUGCCCGAGAGAGGGGGAUACCAGUUGGAAACGACUGUUAAUACCGCAUAAUGUCUACGGACCAAAGUGUGGGACCUUCGGGCCACAUGCCAUCGGAUGCGCCUACGUGGGAUUAGCUAGUUGGUGAGGUAAUGGCUCACCAAGGCGACGAUCUCUAGCUGGUUUGAGAGGAUGAUCAGCCACACUGGAACUGAGACACGGUCCAGACUCCUACGGGAGGCAGCAGUGGGGAAUAUUGGACAAUGGGCGCAAGCCUGAUCCAGCCAUGCCGCGUGUGUGAAGAAGGCCUUCGGGUUGUAAAGCACUUUCAGCGAGGAGGAAGGGUGGUGUGUUAAUAGCACAUCAUUUUGACGUUACUCGCAGAAGAAGCACCGGCUAACUCUGUGCCAGCAGCCGCGGUAACAC